rnacentral:rRNA from 3 species
AACACGUGGGCAAUCUGCCCUUCACUCUGGGACAAGCCCUGGAAACGGGGUCUAAUACCGGAUAUGACACACGACCGCAUGGUCUGUGUGUGGAAAGCUCCGGCGGUGAAGGAUGAGCCCGCGGCCUAUCAGCUUGUUGGUGGGGUGAUGGCCUACCAAGGCGACGACGGGUAGCCGGCCUGAGAGGGCGACCGGCCACACUGGGACUGAGACACGGCCCAGACUCCUACGGGAGGCAGCAGUGGGGAAUAUUGCACAAUGGGCGAAAGCCUGAUGCAGCGACGCCGCGUGAGGGAUGACGGCCUUCGGGUUGUAAACCUCUUUCAGCAGGGAAGAAGCGAGAGUGACGGUACCUGCAGAAGAAGCGCCGGCUAACUACGUGCCAGCAGCCGCGGUAAUACGUAGGGCGCAAGCGUUGUCCGGAAUUAUUGGGCGUAAAGAGCUCGUAGGCGGCUUGUCACGUCGGAUGUGAAAGCCCGGGGCUUAACCCCGGGUCUGCAUUCGAUACGGGCAGGCUAGAGUUCGGUAGGGGAGAUCGGAAUUCCUGGUGUAGCGGUGAAAUGCGCAGAUAUCAGGAGGAACACCGGUGGCGAAGGCGGAUCUCUGGGCCGAUACUGACGCUGAGGAGCGAAAGCGUGGGGAGCGAACAGGAUUAGAUACCCUGGUAGUCCACGCCGUAAACGUUGGGAACUAGGUGUGGG